rnacentral:rRNA from 1 species
GAUGAACGCUGGCGGCGUGCCUAAUACAUGCAAGUCGAGCGAACAGACGAGGAGCUUGCUCCUUUGACGUUAGCGGCGGACGGGUGAGUAACACGUGGGUCACCUACCUAUAAGACUGGGAUAACUUCGGGAAACCGGAGCUAAUACCGGAUAAUAUUUCGAACCGCAUGGUUCGAUAGUGAAAGAUGGCUCUGCUAUCACUUAUAGAUGGACCUGCGCCGUAUUAGCUAGUUGGUAAGGUAACGGCUUACCAAGGCAACGAUACGUAGCCGACCUGAGAGGGUGAUAGGCCACACUGGAACUGAGCCACGGUCCAGACUCCUACGGGAGGCAGCAGUAGGGAAUCUUCCGCAAUGGGCGAAAGCAUGACGGAGCAACGCCGCGUGAGUGAUGAAGGUCUUCGGAUCGUAAAACUCUGUUAUUAGGGAAGAACAAACGUGUAAGUAACUGUGCACGUCUUGACGGUACCUAAUCAGAAAGCCACGGCUAACUACGUG